rnacentral:rRNA from 1 species
AUGUGCUACAAGGUGGAGUGCGAAAAAUGUGGCAAGAUCACCUGGAAGGGGUGCAGAGCGUCCGUCUAUGAAGGCAUCAAGAAACGAAAGCACUGUACCUGCAAGGCGUGUCCGGGUGUUGGCACGAAGGCGGAAUCGUGGAAGGGUUGGCUUCAACCACCGAAGGAAGUGAUGUGCUUUUGCUUCUGCUUGCUGAAAAUGGUCUCCAUGCCCGACCUUGCAGGUGAAGCAAAAACUUGA